AUGAAUUUAAUUUCGAAAAUCUCUACUGUCAAAGGCUCCAAGUGCCAAGUAUGUGUGCAAGCUAAGCAACCUCGCAAAUCCCAUAAGACUGCAGAGGCAAGAGACUUGGCGCCACUUGAGCUUAUACAUUCUGAUCUUUGUGAGAUGAAUGGCGUGUUGACAAAAGGUGGAAAGAGAUACUUCAUGACGUUGAUUGAUGACUCCACUAGAUAUUGUUAUGUGUAUCUUCUGAAAUCAAAAGAUGAGGCUUUGACUUCCUUUAGAAACUAUAAAGCUGAGGCAGAGAACCAACUUGAUCGAAAAAUUAAACGGCUUAGGUCCGAUCGUGGUGGAGAGUAUUUUUCCAAUGAAUUUGAUCUGUUUUGUGCAGAACAUGGUAUAAUCCAUGAGAGGACGCCUCCCUACUCACCCAUGUCAAAUGGGGUAGCCGAAAGAAAGAACCGAACUCUAACUGAUAUGGUUAACACCAUGUUAGACACUUCGGGUCUAUCCAAGGAAUGGUGGGGGGAGGCGCUAAUGACUGCGUGUCAUGUCCUAAACCGAGUUCCCACAAAGCAUAAGACCAUGACUCCAUUUGAGGAAUGGGAAAGGAAAAGGUUGAAACUCUCUUACCUACGUCUUGGGGUUGUUUGGCGAAAGUCAAUAUACCAAUUCCCAAGAAGCGCAAGCUUGGACCAAAAACCGUGGAUUGUGUUCUUCUGGGCUAUGCUUUUCAUAGCAUCAGCUAUAGAUUUUUGA
rnacentral:rRNA from 1 species